GCAAUUUGAGAGUUUCAACUGUACAUUUUUAUGUUACUUUAUUCGUUCACCAAAUGUUUUCAUGGAAGACUUGCCACGUGGAAGACGUGCCCUGGGUUUUAAAAAAUUCGACUCACCAGCUAAUACUGAAAAAAUAAUGUACAGCCUAGGAGAGACUAACGUGUAAAAGUGGCCAGUCCCGUCGCCUCCGGAGCACUUUUGUAUUGUCACUUGGUUUUUCAUCUUAAGUCGAUGUAAAUAAUCGAAUUAAAAAUAUUCUAGUCCAGACGCAGGAAAACCUUUUCCGGUAUAAAGCCCACCUUCCUCUAAUGUUGCGCAUGCCCACUGUGCUCAGCUGCUCCGUUUUCGAGCAUCCUAGACUUCUGUCACCAGGUAAGGACACCCUAGAAGCUGAGCUACAGUUGGCUGGGGCACCCAAAAACCUGGGGGUGUCAAGAGUUUACAGGUACGUAAGCGGGAAAGGGGUACCGAGUCUCAGCUAAAAAAUCCCCAUGGCUGAGAUCCGAGUACACAUGCAGCAGUUUCCACCGGUGCGGCCCGAGGAAGGGGAGGAUGAUGGGAGAAGACGAGCAACUACAAGCCCCCGCACGCAGUGCGCAGCUGGCUUCUGGAAAGAGGCCCGCGAUGCAGUGCUGCCCGGCCUCGGCGCAGAGCCCCGGCCAAGCGCCAGACGCUGACUGCUCGCACCAGAAUGCUCGCGAUGAGAAGACAGGCGGAGUGCUGCGAGCUAGCGAGCCUUCAGCUCUCGUAUCCAUGACGCCUGCUGCUUCGGGGGACCCCUGGCCUGCUGGGGAGUGGGUCUCCGUGGGCCAUCCUAUCCCGCCUUGGCCGGCGCCAGACCCCCACGGCCCCGGAGCCUCCCGCGCUGCCACGGGAUGACAGAGCCGGACGUGACGCUACCGUGGAAGGAAGGGAGAGGCGGAGCGUGGCGCGGUGACGUCCUCCCAAGAUGGCGGAGAGAGAGUGAAGAAAUUGUGUUCCCCCUUGGGUUGCUAUCGAUCAAGGGUAAAAUUCCAUUCUGAUAUCAAAAUGCAGUAUUCGCACCACUGUGAGCACCUUUUAGAGAGACUGAACAAACAGCGGGAAGCAGGUUUUCUUUGUGACUGCACCAUAGUGAUUGGAGAAUUCCAGUUUAAAGCUCAUAGGAAUGUGCUAGCCUCCUUUAGUGAGUAUUUUGGUGCGAUCUACAGAAGCACUUCUGAGAACAAUGUCUUUCUUGAUCAAAGUCAGGUGAAGGCUGAUGGAUUUCAGAAACUGUUGGAAUUUAUAUACACAGGAACUUUAAAUCUUGACAGUUGGAAUGUUAAAGAAAUUCAUCAGGCUGCUGACUAUCUCAAAGUGGAAGAGGUGGUCACUAAAUGCAAAAUAAAGAUGGAAGAUUUUGCUUUUAUUGCUAAUCCUUCUUCUACAGAGAUAUCUAGUAUUACUGGAAACAUUGAAUUGAAUCAACAGACUUGUCUUCUUACUCUGCGAGAUUAUAAUAAUCGAGAGAAAUCAGAAGUAUCUACAGAUUUGGUUCAGGCAAAUCCUAAACAAGGGGCAUUAGCAAAAAAGUCAUCUCAAACAAAAAAGAAGAAGAAGCCUUUCAACUCCCCAAAAACAGGGCAGAAUAAAACAGUGCAAUAUCCCAGUGAUAUUUUAGAGAAUGCAUCUGUUGAACUAUUCCUAGAUGCAAAUAAACUGUCCACACCUGUAGGAGAACAAGUUGCACAAAUAAAUGAUAAUUCAGAACUUGAGUUGACAUCAGUUGUGGAAAAUACUUUUCCAGCACAAGAUAUUGUGCAAACUGUUACAGUGAAACGGAAACGUGGAAAAUCACAGCCGAACUGUGCUCUGAAAGAACACUCUAUGUCUAACAUAGCCAGUGUCAGGAGUCCUUAUGAGGUGGAGAACUCCGGGGAAGAGCUGGAUCAGAGGUAUUCCAAGACCAAACCAAUGUGUAACACUUGUGGGAAAGUGUUUUCAGAAGCCAGCAGCUUGAGAAGGCACAUGAGAAUACAUAAAGGCGUCAAACCUUAUGUCUGCCACUUAUGUGGAAAGGCAUUUACCCAGUGUAACCAGCUGAAAACCCAUGUAAGAACUCAUACAGGUGAGAAGCCAUACAAAUGUGAAUUGUGUGAUAAAGGAUUUGCUCAGAAAUGUCAGCUAGUCUUCCAUAGUCGCAUGCAUCAUGGUGAAGAAAAACCCUAUAAAUGUGAUGUAUGCAACUUACAGUUUGCAACUUCUAGCAACCUCAAGAUUCAUGCAAGGAAGCAUAGUGGAGAGAAGCCAUAUGUCUGUGAUAGGUGUGGACAGAGAUUUGCCCAAGCCAGCACACUGACCUAUCAUGUCCGUAGGCAUACUGGAGAAAAGCCUUACGUGUGUGAUACCUGUGGGAAGGCAUUUGCUGUCUCUAGUUCUCUUAUCACUCAUUCUCGGAAACAUACAGGUGAAAAACCAUACAUAUGUGGUAUUUGUGGGAAAAGUUUUAUUUCCUCAGGAGAGCUCAACAAACACUUUCGAUCCCAUACAGGAGAAAGACCAUUUAUCUGCGAAUUAUGUGGAAAUUCUUACACUGAUAUUAAAAAUUUAAAGAAGCACAAAACAAAAGUCCAUUCUGGUGCAGAUAAAACUCUAGACUCCAGUGUAGAGGAUCAUACUUUGAGUGAACAAGAUUCCAUACAAAAGAGUCCUUUAUCAGAAACUAUGGAUGUGAAACCUUCUGACAUGACUUUACCAUUAGCUCUUCCACUUGGGACUGAGGACCAUCACAUGCUUCUGCCUGUCACAGAUACUCAGUCUCCUACAUCAGAUACAUUGUUGAGGUCAACUGUGAAUGGAUAUUCAGAACCACAGUUGAUUUUUUUACAACAGUUAUACUGAAUGAGAGGAAUAUGGAAUUGCUAAGAUGUCAUUGAUAGCAAACAUCUCUGACAGAGUCUCACUCUGUUGCUCGGGCUGGAGUGCACUGACAUGAUUUCAGCUCACCACAACCUCUACCUCUUGGGUUCAAGAAAUUCUCCUGUCUUAGCCUCCCAAGUAGCUGGGACUACAGGCAUGCACCACCACACCUGACUAAUUUUUUGUAUUUUUGGUAGUGAUGGGGUUCACUAUAUUGACCAGGCUGGUUCUCAACCUCCUGACCUCAGGUGAUCUCUCCGCCUCGGCCUCCCAGAGCCCUGGGAUUACAGGCAUGAGCCACCAUGUCCAGCCUUAAACAUUUCUUGGUGUUUUACCUUUGGGAAGCAGUUUAAAAUUAUGUUCUUGAAUAUAAUUUUCAGUAUUUUACCUGGAAAUGUUGAGUACCUAGAACUUGAUUAGAAAUACCAUCAGGUAACAUUAUUUAAAUUCUACAUUUUUACUCAUUUAUGGACAAUAUUGAUAUGUAGUUAACUAGAGCAUUAAUUUUUUGCGAUAGUAAUAUAGUCUUCUCUUCUGUCCUCUGCAACCCCUGCCUCUAUUCAUUCAAAAGAGGUUUGCUGUACAGAGGCUUCUUGGCUUAACAAGUUUAUCGUAAGUCAAGGAGUAUACUGAAUAUAAAUUAGUUUUGCACAUUGUAAAGUCAAGAAAUCAUAAGUCGGGGACCAUCUGUAUUUAAGAAAUUAGAUCAUUACCAUGUUAAAGACAGUAUUUAAUUUCAAGAAAAAUUUACUAAAACACCAGGAUGUGAACAUCCACAUAUUUGGAUAACAAUAUCUGGCCAGUGUUUCAAGUGCUGGGAAAAAAUUCAAAUCAGAAUACAUAAAGCUGCAAAGAUAAAAAAGAGAAACUACCCUUAAGUUUACAGUCAAAUGGAAAUCCCAAGCAUGAAUAUAACUAACAAUAAGAAGAGCCAGAAUGUUGAGUGUUUUAGUAGGGAAAGGCAAGAAAGGAAAUGCUGAGCAGUCAAUAGGAGUAGAAUGGACAGAGAAAUGGUCAUUGCUUACCUGGAUAGGCAAACAAGAGGAGAUGGCUGAUGGGACGAAUUUGCACAUAGCUGAUGAAGAGUGAACUAGGCAGAAUGGAGAGAAAGCAUUAAGUAGAGAAGAGAUGGAAGUCAGAGGCGUGUCCAGUACUAUACAUAUGCCAUGCCAUCUUGAAAUAGUUUCUCUACCCAUACUCUGCUGAAGGAGUGAGAUUAGAUAGCCAGGUUUGUAACCCAUGUUCUCACAUGCCAACCACAGUUGUGUGCUGGAGGGCAGGGAUUAGACAGCCACAUUUCUAACACAUGAUUCCAUACUUGUGACCACAGCAACAAGACAUUUUACCAGGGAAAAACAAUUCAUAGGCCAGACUGAGCUGGUCAGAUUCUUUCUCAAAAAUUUGAGCAAUGACGUUCUGAGACAAUCAGGUAAUGAUAUACCUGAAAUGAAAAGAUCAUUUAGAACUGGCCUAGAAGUCAGUGAAGCAACCUGAAGUCUAAAGGAAAUGAUGAAUAAGCAGAGAAAGCUGAUCUAUAGAAUAAAGCUAGGGAAUGAAACAGGUUUGCAGAGCCAAGAGACUGCCCUAAAGAGAUUCAAAGAGGCCUUAGUUUCUGUCUUUGCAAUCCCACUGAUGUGACAGAGCCAUGAUCAUUUUCUGCACCUGGAUGCCAGUGAUUGUGGUUGUUGUAUCCUUAUGUUAAAUCUCCUUUUUUUUUAAACAGGCUGAGUCACUUUAUUUUCCUUGUAAGCAGGCAGCACCAAAUUGAACACCUAAGCUUCCAUCUUGGUGACUGAGAAGAUGGUGAUGCCAUUGACAUCAAGAUAAGUCUUGAGCACAUUUAGAGAAGGGAAGCAAUUUUCAUGUACCGAAUUUGAUUGGUGGUGAGAUAUGUAUGAAAAGUCUGGUAGUGGUUGGAAAUGGGGCCUGAACUAGGAGAAUUUAAAGCUAGAGAUACAGACCUUGCAGCUAAUAAUUUAUAGAAAUGAUAAGGCAUCUCCUAUACCUGGGAGAUGGUAUAGGAGAAAAAAAGAUGAGGACAGAAUUUCGGGGAAAAUUCAUUUAAAGGAUGAGCAAAGAUGGAAAAGGAGAUGGGAAGUUGCAGAAAGGAAGAAAACCAAGGUGGCACAAAUUUUGGGAGACAAAAGUGCCUUUGUAGCAGUCACACGGUACAGAGAAUUAGGAUGUAUAUCUGAGACAACAUUGGGUUGGAUAAUUAGAGUACAGUGAUCCUUUGGAAGGCAGAUGUAGUAUAACAGUGGGAGCAGAACCAGACAGAUAUGGUUGAAGUAGAUAUUAAGACAUGAUGAAUGAAUAAUACUAUAGAAAAGUUUGAAAGGGAGAACUUAAGGCAGAUGAUCAUUAUUUUCUCAAAUAUCUGAAAAGCAUAAACUACUUUUAUUUUUGCUUUCAAAUUUGAAACAUUGUAAAAUGAUGAGCAUAAAAUGAUCUGCAGCAGUGUAAGGUGAAGUAGUCUUUGAGCUAGGUCUUAAAGGAUGAUUGCUAAGAGGAAAAUGAAAUGUAUAACACAUACAAUAUGGUUGCAGAUUUGCUCUUUAUAAUUUAGAUGUGCAGAGGAAAUGAGAGUUUUCCUAUGGAACUUAUAUGUCCUUCCUCUUGAGCCCAUACACAGUGGUAAGUCUGGAAAAAAUUAACAUUUGGUCUUAGCCAGUUUAAAAUCUAGUCUGAUUUAAAGGGAAUAGAAUUCAUAAUAUCUUAAGGGAUUUUAAGGUAAUGCUUAAUCUUUUGGAGAAAUGCUGUUUUAUUCCUGUCCUUUGUCUCUAAAAUAGUGUCCAGACUUAUCUUACAGGACAGUGGCAUCAGGAUAGAUGGAAUCUUUAUUGAGCUCUUCCAUUCUCUGGACAUUAUACUGACCUCUGUUAUAGCAGGAAGCAGCUUAUAAAAUAAGUAACCAGGUCUCUCCUAGUCUGAUGAGAGCCCAGUUGUACUUGGUUGAACUGACUUCAUCUCAGUUCUCUUGGAUUUGAAAAACUGUCUGAGGCUCUAUCACCUGCAACUCUGCCUCAAGCAGCAGUGUAGGUCAGGUGACAGGUUUACCACAUGCACCCCACUGUGGGCUCAAGGUAAGCCUACUUGCUUCCCCUUCAGCCAUCUUCUGAAUCUCUCUUUAGGGGAAUAUGGGAACUUGUGGGUCCCUUCCAUAGCACACAGGAAGAGAUAGUAGCCUGGGAAAGCAAACUCUUUCCAGAAUCUGGUAGACUCCUUACUACCCAGCAUGUGAAGAAUACUACAAAGCAAUAAAAAAUGAACAAUCUAUUGCUACAUUAAACAACAUAAAUGAAUCAUACUAAUAUAAUGUUGAACAAAAGAAGCCAGACAGAAAAAAAGUGUAUACUGUAUGCUUCCAUUUAUAUAAAGGUCAAGAACAGGCAAAACUACUCUGUGGUGUUAGAAGUCAGGAUAGUGAUUGUCUAUGAAAGGAGGGUGGGAGGAGCUGACAGCACUGACUUGUUGGGAAAGAGGUAUGUAUAUGUUUGUAUAUAUUAGCCUGUAUUUAUGAAAUUGUUAUUAACAUCUGUCUGUAACACCUAAAUAGGUAGAAUACUUUUUCAACUUCUGAACUUUAAAACCUUUGAAAGCCACUGGUAAUUUGCUACUACCAAUAAAACCUUUUUAUUAAUACUACUUAAUAACUUUCAGUUAGAUACCUAUAACAAACUUCACUUGUAUGCUACUUCACUGCUUGUUUAUAUUUUCAGUGUAAAAAUAAUUUUAGUCUAGUUCCUUGGCCUAUUUCUCCAGGGUUAGAACUUUAGUCUCUAUUAUAAAGUGUCUUUUUAAAAAAAUUACUGCCGGGCACAGUGGAUCACAAGGUCAAGAGAUCGAGACCAUCCUGGUCAACAUGGUGAAACCCCGUCUCUACUAAAAAAAAACAAAAAAUUAGCUGGGCAUGGUGGCGCAUGCCUGUAAUCCCAGCUACUCAGGAGGCUGAGGCAGGAGAACUGCCUGGAGGAGAACCCAAGCAGGAGAAUUGCCUGGAGGAGAGCCCAGGAGGCGGAGGUUGCGGUGAGCCAAGAUCGCGCCAUUGCACUCCAGCCUGGGUAACGAGCGAAACUCUGUCUCAAAAAAAAAAAAAAAAUUACUGUACUCUGGCCAGGUGUGGUAGCUCACACCUGUAGUCCCAGCACUUUGGGAGGCUGAGGCAGGUGGAUCAUGAGAGCAGGAGAUCAAGACCAUCCUGGCCAACAUGGUGAAAUCCCAUACCUACUAAGAAUGCAAAAAUUAGCUGGGCAUGGUGGUAUAUACCUGCAGUCCCAGCUACUUGAGAGGCUGAGGCAGAAUUGCUUGAACCAGGGAAGCAGGUUGCACUGAGCUGAGAUUGUGCCACUGCACUCCAGCCUGGGCGAUAUAGCAAGACUCUGUCUUAAAAAAAAAAAAAAAAAAAAUUAACCAUACUCAGUUUUUCACAGUGGACAGCUAUACAAAAUUUAAUACAGCCAUUAUGUUUUACACAUUUGAGAAAAGUAACUUGUUUUAAUUUAUGAAAGAAAACCAAUAGGGUCUAGAAUAUUAAUCUCUGUGGAAGUACUAAGACAAAAGUAUGAAAAUUAUUUUAGAGCUUCUUUAUCAUGGCUGUUGACCUACUGGAACAAGAGCAAAACCUGAAUUAGAUGAGUGGUCAUAACAUUCUCCAUAAGUUGAUGUCCAAUAAUAAUGCUUUUUAAGGCCAUUGGAGACUUCUGCAAGAUAUACGUGUCCAUCUACCACAAAUGGCUCCACGUCUGUAUUGUCUGGUUUUAGACGACCCAUUUGAAUUAAAUGCAAAUACGCCUAGGAUUUUUAAGAAAAGAAAAACUAUAUCAUUAAGAAAACAUGAAUUCAAUUUACAGUCCUAAAAGAAACUUAAAUAUUUAAAUUAGCCAUGCUAAUUUGUAGUUUAAAACAAAAUAUUCUCAAUUACA